AUCCUAUGGUAGCAUGAAGAAGUGGAAGCCUUCCUGGAGAGCAGAAGGGUAUUGAUCACUGCCUCCGAGAGACCUAGUAAUUGGAGUCUUUCUUUCUCAAGACCCAUACCCCCAGUUUGAGGCAUUCCGGAUGAGGAUGGAAUACAGGGCCCUGCGUUAGCAGAUCCUCCAUCACUGGAAGAGGCCAAGGUUGUUCUUGGCUCAUCAUGGC